GCUGAGGCGGCGGCGCUGGCGCGGGGCGGGCCCGGCCGGGGCGGUGGCGGCGGCGGCGGAACCGGGCGGGCGGCGCGGCCAUGGAGGCGCCCUCGGUACCGGACGCCUCGGCGACGGGUAGGGGGCCCAUCAAGGGCAUCCUGAAGAAGAGCGGCAGCAAGGCGUCGUCGGGAGCGGCCGUGGGGGCACGGCAGGCCAGCCAGGCCUGCGAUGAGGACGAGCACGGUAAAAAAUCCCAGAAGUGGGAUGAAAUGAACAUCAUAGCUACGUACCACCCUGCAGGCAAAGAUUAUGGCUUGAUGAAAAUUGAUGAGCCAAGUACUCCUUACCACAGCAUGAUAGGAGAAGAUGAUGAAGAUGCAGUGAGUGAUUCAGAAUAUGAGCCCUUAAGAGCAGAUGUGUUGAGUAAAAAGCUGGCAGCUGCAGCUGAAGGUAGAGGACCCAAGAUUAUAGCAAGGCAAGAAGAAAGCAGUGAGGAGGAGGAUGAAGAUGAAGAAUUAACACCUGAAGAACGGGAGAAAAAGAAACAGUUUGAAAUGAAGAGAAAAAUGCACUACAAUGAAGGAAGAAACAUCAAACUGGCGAGGCAGCUCAUUGCGAAAGAAAUGCGUGGUGAAGAAGAGGAAGAUGAAGAGGAUGAAGAGAUGCGUGAUGCUGCAGAUGUAGAAACAAUGAGUACAGAAGCUACUGAACAUGGGGAAAGGAGGGCUGCAGCAGCCAACCGUAUGAGCCUUCUGCAUGGCCUGAAGCUGCCAUCUCUCUGCACUCUGCUGUAAAACAGAGGCAACUCCGCUCCCCAGCUGCAUUCGCCAGUGGAAAGAAGGCAGACCUUUGCAGCAUUUUUCCAUCUCUAUUGUUGAAGUCCAUUCCACCUUCCUCAUAACCAGCUUCAGAACCACAACUGACUGAGAUUUCUUGCUGAUUGAAAUGAAGAUGGCCAGUCCAGUCAGUGAUGCACAUGUUACUCGUGACCAGCUGGAAAGUAGAGCACACAGCAUAGAAGAAAUCUGUCCAGAACUGUAACUGCUUGUCAAAGACACAAAUAUAAACAUCGCUUCAUGAUUUUUGCAAUUAAGGCUCUUAAAUGUAAAGAAGCAUAUCAGUUACAAUGUUGUAUUGCCAAGAAUGUUAAUUUUAGACUUGUCCAUUAGGCAGAAAACACUGUCUAAUUGAUUUUUUCUUGUGCCUAGUAUUUCUUGGGAGAAUACUGCUUCAUAAUUUGUUCAACCAGAAUGGCAUUCCCUGUAUGUAUAGCGCUGAUUAUCUUGCGUGAUGUACUGUUACUCUUGCUUUGAAACACUCACUGUCUUUUGGUUUUUCACUAUUUAUUUGAGAGUGUUCUAGAUGCGGUGUCUCAUGUGGAAAGUUUUGGGAUUCAAGAGCCACACGGUACAGCAUAUAUCAGAUUGACAUGUAAGCUAUUUAUCAGAUGUGUUAAGCAGUUUAAAAAGGGAUUAUUCAAGUCCUACAACUUUUUUUUUGUAAAGUGUUGACCUGUUAAUCUAGAUUUCAGUAUGUUUUUACCUGCACUUUCCCAGUCUUUAGAACAAGAGCUGUGUUAUUUCUUAAGAGCAGUGUUUGGAAUCGGUUGUUAGUUUCUGACUAAAGCAGUACUAACAUCUGGCAGAGGGAGUGUUUUUACACUGGAAAUGGCUAACUUGAACUUUGCAUUUAACUGUCAUAACCUCUUCCAUCAGGACUGGUUGUUUUGUGGAGCUCUCUCUGGCUUAUUGUGAGAAUGUGCAAGUUUCCUCCAGCUUUUCUCUCAAAAUCACAUCCACUGUUACUCUUCUGGCUCUUGUUUCAAAUGUUUGGUUCUUUCCGGUUGCAUGAACAGUGUUUGCGCUGUUAGCACCUGAGGAAAAACACCCAGCCACGAGGAAAUAUACAUCAGGACUGAAGAUGUGCUGAGCUUAGGCUCUGGCUGUUCUUUAUGAAAGAUAACUGCUGUUGAUCUACUCAUUUGGGGUUGGCGACUUCCAUACUGAAAACCACUGGUCUAAAUUUUCCUGUGUCCAUUGCAACUUACAACAACUGCUUUUGUAAAAUGAAGGCUUUUUUGAAAGCUAGAAGGGAAACUGCCUAAUUCAAAUACUUGUUUACAGUGUGGUUGUAUAGCUGUAAAGAGGGAUUCUGCACCUCCAAAUUGCUGUAAAAACUUCCCACUGGGUGAAAUUUGACUGGUGAAUGUUCCAGUAUUCAGAGCAGUUUCUGGGUUUUAUUACACAAAAAAAGUACACACUUAAGCUUUAGCUUGGUUAUGAAAUACAGUGUAUAUCUUAAUUUUGAUCUGAAUUUGAUAUGUUGCAAAAAUCCAUAUAAUUAUAUGGAUCUAUUUUAAAAUGUCUUUUUCUCCACUGUAUAUGUGAAGUUUGAAUAAAGGAAUGAAAGUUAUUUUACAGUUA